AUCUCAGUACACCCUUUUUUUUCUGGUUUCUUUGAUUCAUACUAGCUGAUAUAAAAAUACUUAGACCCAUGCACUGCAUUAGACCUGUCGUUUGGAAGGACCAAUCACCUGUUCAAUAGUUUUAAUAGUUUUAAUCACUAUUUUGAUUAAAAAAUCAGAUAGUAAACUACACUAGGUGCAUAAAAAGCAUGUUUAAAAAGGGGUCUCUUGCUGAUUUCAAGACAUAAGAACAUGAAAAUGAGUAUAUUACUACUGAUGACAUGUCAUAUAAAUUUAUAUGACAAAAUAUCUCCAUUUAAGCUAGAGAGCUAAACUUACAUUUCAGCCUGCUAAAACUUUUAAGGGUAACAAGACCAUGGGAAAAGCCUGACUAUGAAGACAGUGGCCUUGAUAGGCAGAGAGAAAUCCCACCUAUUGAGUAAUGUCAAAACCAGCAGUUGUAGGACCAGGUAAUGGAAGAUGUUUGCUGGUCAGGCAUACUUUUGAUGUAUAUUUGUAAUAUUUUAAUUAAUAAAUAAAAUAAAAUAAUCAAUCAAAUAAUAAAUUAAUAAAUAAAAUAAUAUCAUCAAUCUUAGAAAGCAGGGCGCACAGUACAACAAGCAAAGAAAAUAAGGGUGACUCUGCUCAGGGAAUUUCUCAGGGAAUUUCCAGGCAAAUUCCCUGUGGAAAUAAAAAAGAAGGAAAAAAAAAGUUUUUCUCAGUAGUGAGCUCUCUUCUUACAAGGGCAGGUUUGGGAGAUGAGUGGUUUUUGGGUUUGGGGCAGGGGGAGAGGUUGUCUAUUUGUUUGGGUUUUUUCCCCUUCUGUUUGAGGGUUAACCAAAAGGCAAUGGCUCAUGCAUCAUUAUUUAACCUGUAGGUGGCACAGCAUCACUGGAUAGUUUUCAGCCAUUCAGAUCUGCUUCAUCCCCUCUUGAGGCUGCCCCUGACCCUGUGGCUGUAAGGAAGCCCUAAGAAGAGCCGUGAUGAUGUGGUUGCUGAGAACUUUCUUCCUGGCAACUGUUUUUUCUUGUACUUGUGGCUCUGCACGAGACUUGCAGCAAAUUCCUAUAUCCAUCACCAAGCCAGAAGGCAAAACAGUGCUAAUCAAUUGCCAUGUCUCCAGUCCUGAUUUUAGCAACAUUUUUAUUCACUGGUACCAAAAGAAAGCCAAUGCAGCUCCCAAGCGUUUUGCCUACAUGUUCUCCAGGUUUUUCCUUGAAAACCAGACUGAUAAGGGGAAGUUUACUAUUGAGAAGGAUGCCAGCAAAUCUGUCUGCACCCUGACAGUCAGCAAAGUAAAGCAGCAAGACUCCGCCACCUACUAUUGUGCUAGUUGGGAUCCACAGUAGUAGAAAGCCACAAGGGACCUGCACAAAGACGUGCUCUACUUUCCAGAUAAGAACCUGAAGUGUUUGAC